UACGUAGGGUGCAAGCGUUAAUCGGAAUUACUGGGCGUAAAGCGUGCGCAGGCGGUUUUGUAAGUUUGUCGUGAAAUCCCCGGGCUCAACCUGGGAAUUGCGAUGAAGACUGCAAGGCUAGAAUCUGGCAGAGGGGGGUAGAAUUCCACGUGUAGCAGUGAAAUGCGUAGAUAUUGGGAGGAACACCAGUGGCGAAGGCGGCUCACUGGACCGGUACUGACGCUGAUGCGCGAAAGCGUGGGGAGCAAACAGG
rnacentral:rRNA from 1 species